GUCUGAGGAAUUCUCACCAGUUCAAAACUUAAACUUUUUUACAAAUUAUAUCCCAGAAAAGCUACGUGACGUAUUUACUGUGGCAGCUGGCAGCAGCAGUGUUGAAGAGUGAGUCACUUUACGACGAUUUUCCUCUACGAAGCACGUAAACAAGAAAAUGAAGUGGUCCGUCGUCUCAUCGCCAGCGCUACUGCUCCUGUAUUUGGUGACUCUCUCUUCUGCUGAGGAAAGUAAAGGGAAGACACCAGUCGACCUGAAGGUUCCAUUAACCUCGACUUUGGACACUGCAUCAUUAAAUGGUACAAAAUGGAAAAAAUGCCCGGAUGGAAUGAUAUGCUGGAGUACUUUCACGUGUUGUCCAUGGAGGAGUCCUCGGAUGUAUUCAUGUUGUCCUCUAACAAAUGCUGUUUGUUGCCCUGACCUUAAACAUUGUUGUCCGGAAGGGCAAUCUUGUUCAGCUGAUUUAAAGUGUAUACCUGAGCACAGAUUUCAUUAAUAUCGCUGAAGGAAUACGAUGUUUCGGCAUUUAUUGUCGUUGGCUGAAUACAAAGCCAAUUCCUCUUUACCAUGACAAUCAGUCGGAUAAAAUUAUAUGGCGUUGGUAAUAUUUAAUACCAGGAAAUAAAAAAGUAUACUUAAAAAAGAAA